rnacentral:pre_miRNA from 1 species
AUGAUACUCCAUCAGUCCGGAGUUACUUGUCAGAUAAAUGGAGGUAUUGUCGUAUAGACAUAUUUUAGUUCUAGAUACAUCUAUUUUAUCCAUUUCUGUGACAAGUAAUUCCGGACGAAGGAAGUACAUA